rnacentral:rRNA from 1 species
UACGGGGGGAGCAAGCGUUGUUCGGAUUUACUGGGCGUAAAGCGCACGUAGGCGGCUCGUUAAGUCGGGGGUGAAAUCCUGGAGCUCAACUCCAGAACUGCCUUCGAUACUGGCGAUCUUGAGUCCGGAAGAGGUGAGUGGAACUCCUAGUGUAGAGGUGGAAUUCGUAGAUAUUAGGAAGAACACCAGUGGCGAAGGCGGCUCACUGGUCCGGUACUGACGCUGAGGUGCGAAAGCGUGGGGAGCAAACAGG